GAUGAAGAACGUAGCGAAAUGCGAUACGUAGUGUGAAUUGCAGAAUUCAGUGAAUCAUCGAAUCUUUGAACGCACAUUGCGCCCGGCAGUAAUCUGCCGGGCAUGCCUGUCCGAGCGUCAUUUCACCCCUCGAGCCGCUUUUAGUGGAUCGGUGUUGGGGCACUACGGUAAAACGUAGGCCCUGAAAUGAAGUGGCGGUCCCGCCGCGGUGCCCCCAUGCGUAGUAACGUUUAGUCUCGCAUCGGGUCCCGGCGGAGGCCUGCCGUCAAGCCUAUUUAUUCUCAGAAUAGUUUGACCUCGGAUCAGGUAGGGUUACCCGCUGAACUUAAGCAUAUCAAUAAGCGGAGGA
rnacentral:misc_RNA from 1 species